rnacentral:rRNA from 1 species
CCUUCUUUAAUUGCUCCUCCCCCCAGGCUUCCUACGGGGAAGCAGCAGUAGGGAAUCUUCCACAAUGGGCGCAAGCCUGAUGGAGCAACACCGCGUGAGUGAAGAAGGGUUUCGGCUCGUAAAGCUCUGUUGUUGGAGAAGAACGUGCGUGAGAGUAACUGUUCACGCAGUGACGGUAUCCAACCAGAAAGUCACGGCUAACUACGUGCCAGCAGCCGCGGUAAUACGUAGGUGGCAAGCGUUAUCCGGAUUUAUUGGGCGUAAAGCGAGCGCAGGCGGUUGCUUAGGUCUGAUGUGAAAGCCUUCGGCUUAACCGAAGAAGUGCAUCGGAAACCGGGCGACUUGAGUGCAGAAGAGGACAGUGGAACUCCAUGUGUAGCGGUGGAAUGCGUAGAUAUAUGGAAGAACACCAGUGGCGAAGGCGGCUGUCUGGUCUGCAACUGACGCUGAGGCUCGAAAGCAUGGGUAGCGAACAGGAUUAGAUACCCUGGUAGUCCAUGCCGUAAACGAUGAGUGCUAGGUGUUGGAGGGUUUCCGCCCUUCAGUGCCGGAGCUAACGCAUUAAGCACUCCGCCCUGGGGAGAAACCCC